ACCCCACAGGAACUAGAGGGGCUGGUCGACAUCAUGUGUCGUGCUGUGUCUGAAUAUAAUGAGAACUGCCGCGUGGCGUUCUGUGAGAACCAGCAGUGGCAGGUGGCGGUGGUGUUAUUUGGUCUGGUGACCUGAAGUAUAUCCCCCUCGGUCUUAAAGCCGAGAUCUUCAGGGUGCUGGCAGCAUUCCCUAAGACGCCGGACGUGGCAGCCAGUCUGUGGCAUACACUGGAAGCCUCACAGGUGGAGCUGGAGGAGGUGGAGACCCAAGCGGAGGAAUUUCCCAUGAUGCAAGCUUUUCUGUCCUUACUGGACUCCCUCAUUGAUAUUCCUGCCUAGGGACCGCUCUCAGGGCCCCAGGAUUUCAACCCUACCUAGAGUUUGUCAAGAAUGUUUGAGAA